ensembl:lincRNA Gm13391 predicted gene 13391
GGAUGAUGAAUCAGGGAGGCUGUGUCCUCUGCUCUCUGGCCCUCCACCGUUCAUUCUCCUGUGUAAGUGCCAGUGUGUGUUUCUUUCUCCAGCCUCACGCUCUAAACAAGAUGCCUCUGGCAGAGGCCCGGGUAGAUGGAGUCUCUCAAGUCCAGUACAACUUCAUUGUCCCUGACUUAUGAAGCGUGAGGUUUCCGCCAUCUCCUAUGACGAGGAGUCUCAGUCCCCAUACGUAGAGGGAACAUUUCUGUCUGACCCUAGCAAGGAGUCAGGAGACAUGCACAAUGCUGGUCUGACUUGCACCGGGAAUUCUUGUCUACUGUCAUGUUGAGCCCUCGCCUGCCCUCUCUCAGUCCAGCCUGCCAAUCAGGGACCACAGUGGUACCUGCCACAGAACUGCACGCUGCCUGAGUUAGUUCCCAUAGCUGUUAGCAAAGAUCCUCAGUGACCGAGCCCCUUGUUAGAGCUGCCCAGUACCUAAGAGCCGUUGGAAUAAAUACACACUUAUUCU